GGCUUUUUGGCUUAGUGGUUAGCGCGCUCGCCUUGCACCUCUAGGGCUGUGGGUUUGAAUCCCACCUCCGCCC